CAAUAGAAAUGAUGGUCAAAGCUCAUGGAUGUUGCAGGCUUUUUUUGUCCUGCACUUCUCAGAGUUU
rnacentral:sRNA from 1 species